UACUCUGACUAUGUGACGCUAAGCACACUAAACUUGUUCUCGUCCGAUUACUGAAGCUAAGCAACGUUAGGCGUGGUCAGUACUUGAAUGGAUGACCGUCCGGGAGAUCACGUGUUGUUGGUG
rnacentral:rRNA from 1 species